UACGUAGGGGGCGAGCGUUGUCCGGAUUUAUUGGGCGUAAAGAGCGUGUAGGCGCCAGGUAGGUCCGCUGUGAAAACUUGAGGCUCAACCUCGAGAUGUCGGCGGAAACCCCCUGGCUAGAGUCCGGAAGAGGAGAGUGGGAAUUCCCGGUGUAGCGGUGAAAUGCGCAGAUAUCGGGAAGAACACCCGUGGCGAAGGCGGCUCUCUGGGACGGUACUGACG
rnacentral:rRNA from 1 species